rnacentral:rRNA from 1 species
GGUUAAGCGACUAAGCGUACACGGUGGAUGCCCUGGCAGUCAGAGGCGAUGAAGGACGUGCUAAUCUGCGAUAAGCGUCGGUAAGGUGAUAUGAACCGUUAUAACCGGCGAUUUCCGAAUGGGGAAACCCAGUGUGAUUCGUCACACUAUCAUUAACUGAAUCCAUAGGUUAAUGAGGCGAACCGGGGGAACUGAAACAUCUAAGUACCCCGAGGAAAAGAAAUCAACCGAGAUUCCCCCAGUAGCGGCGAGCGAACGGGGAGCAGCCCAGAGCCUGAAUCAGUGUGUGUGUUAGUGGAAGCGUCUGGAAAGGCGCGCGAUACAGGGUGACAGCCCCGUACACAAAAAUGCACAUACUGUGAGCUCGAUGAGUAGGGCGGGACACGUGGUAUCCUGUCUGAAUAUGGGGGGACCAUCCUCCAAGGCUAAAUACUCCUGACUGACCGAUAGUGAACCAGUACCGUGAGGGAAAGGCGAAAAGAACCCCGGCGAGGGGAGUGAAAAAGAACCUGAAACCGUGUACGUACAAGCAGUGGGAGCCUCUUUAUGGGGUGACUGCGUACCUUUUGUAUAAUGGGUCAGCGACUUAUAUUCUGUAGCAAGGUUAACCGAAUAGGGGAGCCGAAGGGAAACCGAGUCUUAACUGGGCGUUAAGUUGCAGGGUAUAGACCCGAAACCCGGUGAUCUAGCCAUGGGCAGGUUGAAGGUUGGGUAACACUAACUGGAGGACCGAACCGACUAAUGUUGAAAAAUUAGCGGAUGACUUGUGGCUGGGGGUGAAAGGCCAAUCAAACCGGGAGAUAGCUGGUUCUCCCCGAAAGCUAUUUAGGUAGCGCCUCGUGAAUUCAUCUCCGGGGGUAGAGCACUGUUUCGGCAAGGGGGUCAUCCCGACUUACCAACCCGAUGCAAACUGCGAAUACCGGAGAAUGUUAUCACGGGAGACACACGGCGGGUGCUAACGUCCGUCGUGAAGAGGGAAACAACCCAGACCGCCAGCUAAGGUCCCAAAGUCAUGGUUAAGUGGGAAACGAUGUGGGAAGGCCCAGACAGCCAGGAUGUUGGCUUAGAAGCAGCCAUCAUUUAAAGAAAGCGUAAUAGCUCACUGGUCGAGUCGGCCUGCGCGGAAGAUGUGACGGGGCUAAACCAUGCACCGAAGCUGCGGCAGCGACGCUUAUGCGUUGUUGGGUAGGGGAGCGUUCUGUAAGCCUGUGAAGGUGUACUGUGAGGUAUGCUGGAGGUAUCAGAAGUGCGAAUGCUGACAUAAGUAACGAUAAAGCGGGUGAAAAGCCCGCUCGCCGGAAGACCAAGGGUUCCUGUCCAACGUUAAUCGGGGCAGGGUGAGUCGACCCCUAAGGCGAGGCCGAAAGGCGUAGUCGAUGGGAAACAGGUUAAUAUUCCUGUACUUGGUGUUACUGCGAAGGGGGGACGGAGAAGGCUAUGUUGGCCGGGCGACGGUUGUCCCGGUUUAAGCGUGUAGGCUGGUUUUCCAGGCAAAUCCGGAAAAUCAAGGCUGAGGCGUGAUGACGAGGCACUACGGUGCUGAAGCAACAAAUGCCCUGCUUCCAGGAAAAGCCUCUAAGCAUCAGGUAACAUCAAAUCGUACCCCAAACCGACACAGGUGGUCAGGUAGAGAAUACCAAGGCGCUUGAGAGAACUCGGGUGAAGGAACUAGGCAAAAUGGUGCCGUAACUUCGGGAGAAGGCACGCUGAUAUGUAGGUGAAGUCCCUCGCGGAUGGAGCUGAAAUCAGUCGAAGAUACCAGCUGGCUGCAACUGUUUAUUAAAAACACAGCACUGUGCAAACACGAAAGUGGACGUAUACGGUGUGACGCCUGCCCGGUGCCGGAAGGUUAAUUGAUGGGGUUAGCGGUAACGCGAAGCUCUUGAUCGAAGCCCCGGUAAACGGCGGCCGUAACUAUAACGGUCCUAAGGUAGCGAAAUUCCUUGUCGGGUAAGUUCCGACCUGCACGAAUGGCGUAAUGAUGGCCAGGCUGUCUCCACCCGAGACUCAGUGAAAUUGAACUCGCUGUGAAGAUGCAGUGUACCCGCGGCAAGACGGAAAGACCCCGUGAACCUUUACUAUAGCUUGACACUGAACAUUGAGCCUUGAUGUGUAGGAUAGGUGGGAGGCUUUGAAGUGUAGACGCCAGUCUGCAUGGAGCCGACCUUGAAAUACCACCCUUUAAUGUUUGAUGUUCUAACGUUGACCCGUAAUCCGGGUUGCGGACAGUGUCUGGUGGGUAGUUUGACUGGGGCGGUCUCCUCCUAAAGAGUAACGGAGGAGCACGAAGGUUGGCUAAUCCUGGUCGGACAUCAGGAGGUUAGUGCAAUGGCAUAAGCCAGCUUGACUGCGAGCGUGACGGCGCGAGCAGGUGCGAAAGCAGGUCAUAGUGAUCCGGUGGUUCUGAAUGGAAGGGCCAUCGCUCAACGGAUAAAAGGUACUCCGGGGAUAACAGGCUGAUACCGCCCAAGAGUUCAUAUCGACGGCGGUGUUUGGCACCUCGAUGUCGGCUCAUCACAUCCUGGGGCUGAAGUAGGUCCCAAGGGUAUGGCUGUUCGCCAUUUAAAGUGGUACGCGAGCUGGGUUUAGAACGUCGUGAGACAGUUCGGUCCCUAUCUGCCGUGGGCGCUGGAGAACUGAGGGGGGCUGCUCCUAGUACGAGAGGACCGGAGUGGACGCAUCACUGGUGUUCGGGUUGUCAUGCCAAUGGCACUGCCCGGUAGCUAAAUGCGGAAGAGAUAAGUGCUGAAAGCAUCUAAGCACGAAACUUGCCCCGAGAUGAGUUCUCCCUGACUCCUUGAGAGUCCUGAAGGAACGUUGAAGACGACGACGUUGAUAGGCCGGGUGUGUAAGCGCAGCGAUGCGUUGAGCUAACCGGUACUAAUGAACCGUGAGGCUUAACCUU